GAUGAACGCUGGCGGCGUGCCUAAUACAUGCAAGUCGAGCGAACAGACGAGAAGCUUGCUCCUCUGACGUUAGCGGCGGACGGGUGAGUAACACGUGGAUAACCUACCUAUAAGACUGGGAUAACUUCGGGAAACCGGAGCUAAUACCGGAUAAUAUUUUGAACCGCAUGGUUCAAUAGUGAAAGACGGUUUUGCUGUCACUUAUAGAUGGAUCCGCGCCGCAUUAGCUAGUUGGUAAGGUAACGGCUUACCAAGGCAACGAUGCGUAGCCGACCUGAGAGGGUGAUCGGCCACACUGGAACUGAGACACGGUCCAGACUCCUACGGGAGGCAGCAGUAGGGAAUCUUCCGCAAUGGGCGAAAGCCUGACGGAGCAACGCCGCGUGAGUGAUGAAGGUCUUCGGAUCGUAAAACUCUGUUAUUAGGGAAGAACAAAUGUGUAAGUAACUAUGCACGUCUUGACGGUACCUAAUCAGAAAGCCACGGCUAACUACGUG
rnacentral:rRNA from 1 species